AAUGUACUCCCUCCGUCCCAUAAUUCUUGUCUUGCAUUUGUGUAAAUACGGAUGUAUCUAGUUACGUUUUAGUGUUAGAUACAUCCGUAUCUAGACAAAAAUCUAAGACAAGAAUUUUGGGACGGAGGGAGUAGAUG
rfam:Triticum aestivum genome assembly, contig: Triticum_aestivum_CS42_TGACv1_scaffold_049567_1BS